GUUACGAAGGCCGAGUGGUUAAGCCGUUGGACUAGAAAAUCCAACGGGAUCUUCGCGCGCAGGCUCGAAUCCUGCCCGCAACG
rnacentral:tRNA from 1 species